rnacentral:tRNA from 1 species
UCUUCAAUAGCUCAGGGGUAGAGCAGAUGGCUGUUAACCAUCGGGCCGUUGGUUCAAAUCCAACUUGGGGAG